GCCAGGCAUGGUGGUGCGUGCCUGUAAUCCUAGCUACUCGGAGGCUGAGGCAGGAGAAUCGCUUGAACCCAGGAAGUGGAGGUUGCGAGCGGAGAUCGCACCACUGCACUCCAGCCUGGGCAACAGAGCGAAACUCUGUCUCCA
rnacentral:sRNA from 1 species